rnacentral:tRNA from 1 species
UCUGCGACAGGCUGCUCAAGGCUAGGGCAAGUGACUGUUAAUCACUGGGGCUCCGGUUCGAGUCCUAGUCACGGAACCA